CCUACUGGUGGCAGCAGUGAGGAAUAUUGGUCAAUGGCCGUAAGGCUGAACCAGCCAAGUCGCGUGAAGGAAGAAGGAUCUAUGGUUUGUAAACUUCUUUUAUAGGGGAAUAAAGGUAUCCACGUGUGGAUAUUUGCAUGUACCCUAUGAAUAAGCAUCGGCUAACUCCGUGCCAGCAGCCGCGGUAAUACGGAGGAUGCGAGCGUUAUCCGGAUUUAUUGGGUUUAAAGGGUGCGUAGGCGGUAUGUAAAGUCAAGGGUGAAAUCCCCGCGCUCAACGUGGGAACUGCCUUUGAAACUGGCAAACUGGAGUGUGUGAGAGGAUAGUGGAAUUCCAGGUGUAGGAGUGAAAUCCGUAGAUAUCUGGAGGAACAUCAGUGGCGAAGGCGACUAUCUGGCACAUAACUGACGCUGAGGAGCGAAAGCGUGGGUAGCAAACAGGAUUAGAUACCCGAGUAGUC
rnacentral:rRNA from 1 species